ACCCCAUGCACAUGUGCGAAGAGAGAGAGAGGAGGGGGCACGCGCGAUUAGCCAACACCACUUAGAUAGCACAAUAAGGCUUGUCUACUCCGAUGCAUGACGUCCCGCUGUCUGGCCCGAAAUAUCCAUUGACAAGGCUGGCGUGAUAUACGCUGGCGGCCCGACGCGCAUUUUUUUCGAAGCCGCAGAGCGAUGAUCGGUUCCUAGCUUAUGUGGCUUUUGCAGCUUUCAGCGCUUUUCGGAAAGACAACAAACGACCGACUGCUGACAGAUAACCAAGUGCCGAUUGUGCCACAAUGCAGAAGCCAUGGAAUAUCGGUGAAGAUUAUAUAUAAGCCUGCACCAUUUUCUGAAGGCCAAGAAAUGAAAGAACUGGGUGAGAAAGCUGUGAGAAAAGCAAAUGCUGUGAUGCUGCCCUUGACACCACGAUAGGCUGUGCAGUGGUGUGAUGUGUGACGAGAAGAAUGAAAAGCAAGAAGAGUUCAGAAUGCACCCCUUCACAACAUUAUCAAGCAAGUGCCGAGUGGACAGCUACUCAAUGACACAUGAAAGGACAGUAGAACGAAUUUAUAUUCUACUACUGUGCACUCUUCUGUAGCCGUGUACUUGUUACUGUGCAAUGUAGAAAGUAGUGCAACCAUCACCUGCCAUAGGUUGGUUUCCUCAACGCAAUGUAACAGUAAUGCCUAUCAAAUCACAGCUGCACCUGCCACUGAGCUGAAAUGGUCAGAUUUGUUGAUUAAUAGGAAUGAGAGGAAGUCGUCCACUGAUGUGUUACAGCUAAAACAGUUUAUGCCAAAAAUGUAACGCCCGACGGUCAGAUUGCUGCAAGACUUAAAUGUACGGGAGCAUGCUUGCUCAUUUGCUUCUUAGAUCUACUGACCAAACAGGUGACACAUGUGCUACCAAAUAAAAGCUAGCUCUAGCUGUACCUAAUAGCCAUUAGUUGUAUGGCUCGCAUCGACUGUGUGUGAGCAAUGUUUAUGCACUAUAAAAAUGCUUGCCGCUCUGUACAAAUGUAGAUCUCAUUGCUUGUAGACAAGUUUACAAGUGCUUUAAAAAACCGUGGUAUAAUAAACUUUGCCCGACAGUAUUUAUCUUGCUGACAGAGCGGUCACACACUUUUUCAAGCAAACUGUUUUCGUUUCCUUUUUUGGCCAUUUUUGUGGUUGGUGGUCGGACUUUCACAGCAGACACAAAGGUGCCGAUGAAAAUGGUACAUGCUGUCAUACAACCAAGUUAUGGGACGAGUUCAUCAGCGAAUGCCAACUAGGGAUACACAUGCUGUCGCACAUGACCUUUGCAGCAUCUGAAGGUUUAGACGCUGUGAUGGAGUGCUCAGCAAGGAUAGCACUCCCCUUCUCUCAUUGCACUCUCCCCCUGUGAUGGCUGCAGAAGAGAGCUCCAGGGAAGGGGAGGAGAAUGCCAGUCAUCUUCUACACUGGCACCACUGGAGACAACUCGCAUAUGAUAAAUUGACUAUAUGUAAAGCUACAUAUGUUAGCACUACAAAUGUGCUGAUUAAUGGCUUUGUUUUCAAUAGAACCACGCAAUGAAACAGCAAAAGCGCCAUCUAAAUAUCUCCGCUAUAACAAAUUACACAUGAUGAAGUGCAUUGUUGCUUUAAUAAAGCAAACAAACUUUCUAGAAGCAUUAGGCUAUCACUUACAUUGCUAAUCGUCAUUGAUGGAGUUAGUGAAAAUUAUGUUCAUUGCUCCUGUCUAACUAUACUGUACGAGUGCAAAUGGUGCUUUAUUGAGUAAUCUUCAAUUUUUAACAUGGAAGAACGACUUGGCUAAGCAUGCUUUUAUAGUAGAUAGCACGGAUGUCAGUGCAAGCUCAAUCAAUGCGAUUGGUUUGUGAUGUGGUGUGAGGCUUCUUUCGUUACGUGAUGUGCUGAAGUUAUAGGAUUUAAAAAAAAAAGAGUGUCCAUAAAUAAGGGCACAAACAUCAGCUCAUGCCAAAACUUGUUGAGCCUAUCUGCUUUUUCUAAGUGCAACAUCAGAUUAAAGCAUAAGGCUAUUUAUUGCAAUGCCAAAGGAAGGGACACGAGACACAAUGCUGGUGAAAACAUACUGCUGAAAUUUUACUUUUAGGAACUGAGCUGUCAUGACACACUCCCCUUUCACAAAUAUUGCAGCACUUCUGAACUAAAGCUUCUAUGUCCAAUUCACCCAGUCAAAGAAGAUAAUAAUUUUGCCUCUGUGAAGAGGGACAUAUAGAGUAGCAGGUGGCAGAGGCUUUAGGUGAAGCCUCAGUCUGAUCAUGGAAGACAAUAAAAUGAAGUCUUGAUAUUUUCCAACCGUUUACAUACAAAAAGCUCCAACAACAAAUUAGCACUUGAUAACAGGAAACUGCCCUUGAGCCUACAAUGAUGAGGGGAAAAAAAUAAGGAUAAUAAUAAUAAAAAAAAACAAUGACAUGAUUUGUCGUAACAAUACAUUGUAACACAUGCAACUUGACCAUGACAGCGGCACAGCACUGAUGAUCUCUAACAAUGUUUGGUUGCAACCUCGUUUCGUUCACAUUCGGAGUGAAUAUCACCGGUUCAUGGGAAGGUGUGCAACCACCAUGUCAUUCCCAUUCAAGCCAGUUCCCAGGGGAACACAAAGAAGGUAAAGACACACACAACCCCAACCACAUAGGUAAAAUCAACUUGGCCCAUUUGCAUUCCAGAGCUGCUGUUGCUGUAAUGCAUUUGGCAUACAGCAAACUCGCUUGGACUAAGAGGGAAUGACGAAAAGUGAUUGAACAGCACAGGAAGAUGGAAGAAAUAGGAACACUGCUGAGUGAAACGCACACCGCGCUCCCUGUUCCGGGGUUCCACACAGCUGUCUCUCAAGGAAUGUGGCGAACGGCAGGCACACCACAAAUCACACAAUCGCUACCAGUCCCGAGAAAAAGUGGCAGUCUCUGCUGAAAGAGUUGCAUCACAACCCAAGUGGAACUGAUGGAAGCUGUUGCGGCACAGAGCCUUGCAGCGAGAGCAUGCCCUCAUCGCACUGGUUUUACAGCUUCGUUCCUUCACCUGUUCCACAAGGUGACACGACCCAAGCUGGAAUUCACGUGCCUGAACUCUUGCAGGACAUUUAUAGAACAUUUGGAUGCACUUGGAAAAGUUGCAGCUCUGCAUGUAACUGACAAUACACACAAUAGAAAAAAAGAAAA